AGUAUACAUUUUUUUGAAAGAAUGGUGCAGUAGAAUAGAAGAAGGGUCCAGUAGAGUGGUGCUUUAGAAUGGAAGAAGGAUCCAGUAGAAUGUUUAUUUUUUUGUUUAUAUCCUUGUUCCUUCAGUUGUAUCAGCCUACAUCUGAUUUCAACCUCAGUGACCCAAACUGUCACAUUAUGAGGCCGACGUACAACAGUUUGCAUGACCCAAACCUCAAUGAAUACUUCCAUCAGAAGGAAAUGCAUGAGAAGUUAAAGAAGCAAAACUUCAUCACUAAAGAGGACAACGUUGUAUGCUCAUUAAAGGAGUAUAACACAUACAAACAUUACCUGGAUACGGUCAAGACUGACCAUCAUAAAACGUACAGCAAAAAGUUGAAGGAACAGAUACUGAGAAUGGUUCAGUUGCAAGAGGAAGACCAUAUACCUAAGGACGUUACCCUGGAAGAUAUGAUAAGAGUACUUACUGAAUAAAGGAGCACAGAACCUGAAGCAUCUGCAGUCAACCAUUGGUUCCAGGGACAGGGGACAGAAAUAUGGCCUGCAAACUGCGUUGUAUGACCAAGAGAGAGAGUUUAAAGAGGAUUGGGUUUCUAAGGAGCGAUCCAGGCUGAAACUCAUUGAAAAAGAUGUGAGGCACGAUUUGAACAAGGCCAAGUAUAUGAAAGAGGCCAAAGAAAAGCGCAUCAGAAAGAAAAUGUGCAUUAUGGAACAAAAACAGGCUAUUCAGUUGAGGAUAAUGGAAGAGGAAUUGAAAAACCUCCAGGAGUUUGAGGGGUUUAGAGAGGCCUCUAUCAAACCAAAUAAGCUGCUGGAAGAAAUAUUUGAAA